CGAGCAACGGAUUGCUGGAUUCCACAUCCUUCUUCAGGCAUUUCUCAAUAUAGGCUUGAGAUGCCUCAAGGUACCAUGUCCUGGAACCAAUCUUGAUGUCCAUGACACACAGAUGCAAACGAGUCGACGUGAGAUCUUCUAAGAUGAGGUGCGUUGGAGGCCAGAUCCAUCAGAAGCCUCGAUACUUUGAGUGCCCUGAAGGCCUGGAAAAACCUCCGGACGUGUUGUGGAAUCGUUUUGUUAGUAGAAAACGAUGUGUAGAAUGCAAUCUCCGUGGCGCCAAGUUCAUCGCCCUGAAGUGGCUUGUAGAAUCGCCCCGAAUCAUCUACGAGAGGACCGAGGAGCCCGUUGAUGUCUUGAUGUCCAGCUACCUGGUGUUCUGGAACUUUGAGCAUGCCUUUGGAGAGAAUCAGAAAGAAGUUAGAGUCUUUUGUCCUUGAUCUUCUUAACCUAUAUAAUAUAAAUGCCAAGGAAUAGUGUUAUACAAACCAAAACCUCUCUACAAUGCAAAGGUUCUGUACAAAUAUAAGAUAAGAAACCCUAACCAUAGCAACUGUGUGUAUGUAAUUUCAUUAGAAUUAAAAGAAUCAUGCCAUGAAAAGGGCUGAAAGUUUCCUAAUCCUUUAUUCUGCCAUGGAAAGGUGCUAAUACCCUUAUUAAAAUAAGAAACUCUAACCAGAGCAACAUGUAAAAGCAGCCAAGCUCUGUAAUAUCAGCUCUAAAACUAAAAGAACCAUGGCCACCAGUUAAAAAAUCAUGUAUAAUAUCUAAACAUGAACGUAGUAAAGUACAAUCUUGGCAUCACUUCCUUACAUAGAAUAAUAUUAAACAUAAGCAGAUGAUCUGCAUCCAAAGUUGAUCGAUUAUCAAUUAGUUUACAGUACAAAUAGACCCUUUUUGAUGACCGAAGAUUGUUGACUAAAAAAAGAUAACACAGCUAAGAAAACACAGAUAGAUUUUCAACAGCAUAUCCAAAAGAUCGAAAACGAAUUACCUCUACCUUGCCGGAAAAAUGGAAACUCUCCGUAAAAUGCCGACUUCGGAGGAGCGGAGAUUCAAUGCUAUCUCGCACUCUGGAAGUGGCUCCCUUCCGAACGGUGAAAACCAAGGAUCCACUAGAUAGCGUCUCACUGUACUGGAAUCCGAUGCCGAAAUGUAAAUAUGAUAAUUAUAUUUACCUAUGCUUAUCGACCUCUCUUUACAAUAUCAAAGGGGGGAAAUAACAUUUGAUUUGAAUACCUCCCAUCUCAACCUUCUGCACACAGUACAAACACCAUUCUGAUGCUGGUUGAUCUCUCGCAGCUAAUGGAAAACCAUAUAGACAAGAUUCAAGCAGUACCUGCUAGACAAAAAAUUACUCAUGGGAUGUAAAUGAAAUGAUUGGUUCGAGAAUGAAGAUGGCUGCUUCCCAUGUCAAUUGUUGGUGAAGAGAACCCUGCGAGCUGACCCAGUUACUAACCGCUUUCCUUCUCUUGAAACCGAUUUGAAUACAUGCUUCAAUUUUAGCCCCUGUGUGUGUUGAAGUCUAGCCGCUUCAAUUCCUCAAGUCUAUACACUUCUUUCAAAUGUCUGCAUUUCUCUAGAAUAAUAUAUGACAAAAUUUUCAAACCAGAUAGAUUCGGCAACUCCUUAAUCGACUGGCAACGGGACAUAUGCAACCUUUGCAACGACUCUAAUCCACCGAGCCCCCUGAUCUCAGUCAAUUGUGUGCAACUAUCAAACUGCAAAAUUCCAACUUUACGAGUCCAGUGAGAUCUAACUUCCUAAUUGAGCUGCCCAUCACCCGUAGCUCUUCUAACGACUCCAAUGUAUGGAGACCAGUAAUCUCGAUGAAAUUGUCACAUCCACAAAUCUUCAAACAUCUGAGGUUCUUGAGAUUAGUGAGGUCCGGGAGUUGUGAAUCAUAUACUUUUAGCGACUUAAGUUUGGUAUAAAUGGAUAGCGAUGGGGGUAGUAUAUUUGUGAUCCCAUACCCUGACAAUUCCAACGUUCCCAGGUUUAGCAAGGAAUGAAGUGACUCCACAACUGUUAAACAGGGACACCCACUGAUCUCCAGAUGUGAUAAGGACUCCCCAAGAUUUCCCAGACCACAGAUUUCACCCAGAAUGUUACACUGUCCAAUCACUAGUUUAUGGAGCUUUGUCAACUCUGCUAGACUGGGUAAUUUUUCCAGGAUGCGGCAUCUUUCAACAGCCAGUUCUUUAAGUAGCACAAGAUUCUCAAGACCAUCCAAAUUAUCCAAAUUUGGCGCAUCACGUAGAAAUAGACACUCUAGCAACUUCAGCUCCCCUAGACCAGGAAUCCCAUGUAUCCCAACCUCUUCUAGACGCAGUCUAGUCAGAUUAGUCACACUCGCAAGAUUCGGAAGCCUUCGCAGAUUAGUAGAGUAACGAACGUCUAACCGGAACAGAGAUGAUGGGAGGGCAGAGAGGGAAAAGGAUGAGAUGAGAAGGAUCUUUAAACCAUUGGGAAGCGUUUCUACCUUGUCAUGCUUAAUAUUGGUCAGGUUCAAGUAUUCCAGAGAGGAUAACUUGCUAAUUCCAGCAGGCACUUCUAUCAAACCUGAAGAGCCAACAUCAAGCUGUUGGAGAUUUUGUAAACUUUCAACCUGUCCUUUUAACGCCGUUAUUCUAGUCUGGAAGAUAUCAAGCACUUUUAGAUCCUUGAAGUUCCCGAUGUCCAGCUCUCCAUGCAUCCGUCUACAUAUGCUAAAACGUAACAACUCUAGACCUCUGCAAGUGGACAAGUCUGGAACUUUUUCCAGGCCUUUGCAACACAUCAGAUGCACAACUUUCAAUUUGCCUGCUGCCUGUAAAACAAGAACACAAAUUGGCGUAAGUGUACUUGUAAUCUGUUCUGACGUACGUACAUCUAAAAUUUAGGGGAUUUCAGUCAUUUAAUCUAUUUUAAGGCGACAGAAUUUCUAAUUCUAGGACAAAAAAUAGUAAUUUCCAACUGAUAACCUUGAUUUCAUUCCAUCCUUCCCAGCUGUCUGUCACAUCCGAGACCUCCAACUCCAAAAUCAUCAACUUAUUUAGGUUAAGACCAGAAGGACGUGGAUCACCGUGAUAGACUCUCAGCCAACGUAGACUUGGAAGUACGUUUUUGAAAUUUCCAGACAGAUCUCCAUUCAAUACUUCAAGAAACCUUAACCUUGAGAAUUGCUUAAAUUCUUCGUCUGUGAGUGCAAAACCUUCGCCUCUCAUAUCAACUCUAAGAGCUUCCACACAAUCAUUUCCCUGCGAAAUUAAAUAAUUUCACCAACCUCUGAAAUUUAGAAUACAUCAAGAAGAAACAUCCAUAGGAGUAUGGUACAUAUAUGGACGAUUUUUGGACAUCUACUCACUUGGUUAGUUAGUGCAAUAUAAAUUUCAUAUAAACCAUAUGGGAAAGCCUUUUAUGUUCCAUAACUAAGAAAGUUGUAAAAAAGAUGAACAUCGAUAUAGGAACUACCUCUCUAUUUUUCAGUAUGUCGAUGGCAUCGUUGUUGGACCAUAUCCUACUACGCUUGUACGGAUUUUGACUUUCUUCGCGAACAAUGGCUCUGCCAAGGUCUCUAAUAUGAUCAUGCAUCCAAAACUCUUCGUUAUCAUUGAUUCUUACUAGAGACCUCUGAACAAGAGUCCUAAUUGUAGUUGUUGGAUAAAAGCCACAGUCACUCCACAUAUACAUUGGUAUUUCUUUCUUUGCUCCAACAAAGAAACAUGCAACAUCGAGAAAGAUUUGCUUCUCGUUGUCAGUCAACUCAUUAUAACUUAUUUUCAAUCUGUCCUGCACCUCGACUGCAGGUAUUGCUUUUAGUUCUAUCAACUUAUCUUCCCAAAAACUUUUCUCUGUUCUAAACAAAAGUGACCCUAUGACCUUGAGGGCCAAAGGUAGCCCUGAUCCAACCUGCACAAAUUCCUCGCAUAGACUUGCAUAAUCUUCCGGAGGAUAAUCCACCCCAAAAGCAUGUUUGCUAAAAAGUUUAAGAGAGUGAUCAUGACUCAUUCCUUCGUGCUUAAACAGUUUACAUCCUCGAAGACGUUCCAAAGUUCUUGCAUCUCUUGUUGUAACAAGAAACCGACUAUCUGCUGAAAAUGCGGUUAAUUUUCCGAAGAUAUCGUCAAAGCGAAAGCUUUCAUUUACAUCAUCAAGGACAACAAAAAUUUUGUGCCUGCUAACUCUCUCUCGUAUCAUUUGGACUCCAUCGCUAGCAUUUUUAGCCUGGCCAAAAUCUUUCCUUAGAAUGUCAGAGAUGACCUUAUUCUGUAGAGCUACCACCCCAUCAUUUUUCAACAAUGCCUCUCUUAUGUUAUUGAGAAAACAACACCGUUCAAAUUGCAUAGAAACUUUGUUAUAAACAGCCUUUGCUAGAGUGGUCUUACCAAGCCCUCCCAUACCGUAAAUGCCAAUAAUUUUCUCACUUGUAGAGUCCAGAUUCAAUAAUUUCACCACCUCUUCUACGGAAAAAUCGAUUCCCACCAACUCGUCAGUUGCUAAUGUAUAAUUAGCCCUAAGGUGCAACUCGACAUCGGUAAAGAUUUUGUCUACAACAGCUCCUUGUCUGAAAAAUACAUAUAAGAAGGUUUAACAUCAACUCAAAAUAUGCAACUACCUAAACCAGGAAAAAAAAGACAGUCAAGUAAGAGACUCAACGAAAGAAAUAAGCGAAGAAAUGUGAUUUUCAAAUUCAAGAUGUAGAGCUACAAUAAAGAAGACAUGAACUAUGAAUGAUUCCACGUUUAAAAUUUUGGAAGUAUAUAGUGAAAGUAUGAACAAGAAACGUACUGAUUACCCAGUUAACUCGCUGAUAUGCCAUCCUUUCAUUUUCCCAACCUCUUGGGGUGCUCCCUUCCAUUCCAGGAUGGUUUCUGGAUCAUGCUUCAAGUUAUGUUGUUCAAAUGAUUCCUUGUAAGGACCAGAAUCCGGGUGUCGAACAUCUCUAGGAUCCAUGAAAUAGAAAACAGGGAUGAUGAUGUGUUGUCCCUUUGCUUCUCCUCCAUUCUUCCAACAAUUCACCAUCUUAGCUAGCUCCUGGAGACACCAUUUACUAGAAGCAUAGUUCUGUGUUAAGAUUGGAAUGUAGAUCUUAGAUUCAGUAAUAGCUUGGAUUAGAGAUGGGCCAAUAGUUUCCCCCUUCUGGAGUCCUUCCUCGUCUCUAAAUGUGCGGAUUUUGGAACGAACAAGGCUUGUGUACAGAUGGUCAGCAAAAGUUUGGCGGACAUCUGGGCCUCUAAAGCUCAAGAAAACCUCAUACUCUCCAGAUGGAAGAGGGAGUAAUGUCGGAUCGACAGACCAACGUGAAUGGAAAGAGUCGAUGGAACCAUCAGAGUCGGAUCUCAUCGUUUUUAAAGUAAAUUGAGAGAGGGGCAGUGUGAACAAAAGGAAGGAAAUCCCUUUCAGCUGCUAGCUUGCUACAAAUAAACAGAAGACAACUAUAAACAUGAUCAAAAACUCCAACCAACGAAAAAAUUCCAAAUUCGUACAAGGAAAACAACUACGGGAACAGAAAUUCAGCUGCUGACUAGCUGCAAUCCAAACAGAAGACAACCCUAAACAUAUCAAAAGAAGCUGGGAAACCUACAGCCAAACAAUAGUUUCUAGAAUUACAAACAAGCUAGGAGCUUACCUUAUCAGUCUGGAGAAAUAUGGGUUGGGAUCAAUUGCGGCUGAUAGAAAGUUGCAAUCCAAACCCCAACUUCGCAAAUAACGUGAUCAGGAAACUUCUAGCUCUAACAAAAACUGAAUUUCAAAGAUACACAAAGAAAUGUUUAGCUUACCGACCUGAAAUGUAAUCAGAGAACUUCGAAGUCCUAACUAAGAACGGAUUUUCAAGGAUUACAGAGAAACUAGAAGCAAACUUAACUAAAAAGUAAUCAGGAAGAUUCUGAGAUCUAACUAAGAACAGAUUUUCAAGGAUUACAAACAGACUAGAAGCUUACAAAGCAAAAAGACAAAAUGGAAAACCUACAAACAACAAAAUGGUGUCCAGUGUUACAAAGACACUCGGAGCUUACCUGAUCAGUCUGGAGAACUACGGGAUCGAAAUCCGGCUGCUAGCAAGCAAGCUUCAAUCCGAACCUAACCAUCCGAAAUGUAAUCAGGAAACUUCUGAGCUCUACGUAAGAACAGAUUUUCAAGGAUCACAAAGAAAUCAUCUAGCAAGCUUCAAUCCAAUUUAUCCAAACCUAUAACAUUGUAAAAUGUAAUCCGGAAACUUCUCUGAAUCUCCCUGAUGAGUGUGAAGAACAAUAAGAUGAGGAACUUCUCUGGAUCUCCCUCGCUCUCUCGCUGCAUUAUUAGCAACAUCGUGGUUGACUUGGGUUUCUUGAGUCGUCGGUGGCUGACUUUUCUCCUUUCUUCAUUUUACGCGCGCUAAUUUUCUAGAGGGAUGCCAAUGUAAAUUCUACGUAGUACAAGGUGCAAAGUUGAAUUCUCCAAUGUAAUUUAUAUUAUUUAUUUUAGUUUGUUGUGUUUCGUAUCUCGGAUAGAAAAAGGAGUUACGAACAUGAUAGUCGUAUGAAAUAGCCAACAAUACUACAAUUCUUUUCGGUACACGAGGUAUAACAUACAAGCAACUGAUAAUAUUAAUGUGUAACGAAAUGUGCAACUUUAAAAUUGGAUGUAAGAGGAUUAGGAUUAUGAUUAAGGAUUUCGGGUCAAGUUUGAAAUCAAAUUUGAUUCGAGUUAGUCCAUAAGAUGUUAUUUGGUAUGUUUUUUUCUUCAUUUGUAGUGUGGUUAACCGUAUAAAUCGGUUAGGUUAAUCACAAAUCGAACCAUUUCCACACUUAGGGCCACAUAAUUAAAAACUUUUCAAUUUUCAGCUGGUCAACAUUCUUUCAUUCCUGCCCACAACUUACAUCAAUCGGUCAACCAUCGCAAAUCCUUCUUAAGCCGAUUCAAGUUCAUCGAACGAAACGAGUCAAGAAAGUUUCGAAUGGCCAACCAAGCAAAGCCAAUGUCAAGCUAGAACAUGAUUUGAUUCUGCAGCACCAUCUUGCAGGCAUGACUUUGGAGAAUUCUCAUCCGGACCGGUGAGGAUCUCGGAAAUGAACUUUAUCAAUGAGCAGAGCCCUCCAAGAAAGUUGUGAUCGAUAACGCCAUUUCCCUCCGUCACAUGAGCAAAAUCGAUGAGCUUCACCGCAGCACCACCCAAACUCUCUUCUCCUCCUUCAUUCACCAUCUUCGUCUUCUCCUUCUCAUACAGCAUAAGAACAGAACAAGAGUUGAAAUGAUAGAUGGUCUGAUCCUCAAACCACGCCUUCAGCUCCAGCAACUGAGCCAAGAUCCCAUUCGAACCACCGUAAACGACCGCUGCAAACGAACAAUCCGGUUGGUCCGACUUCGGGUUGGAGGAAACAAACCGUUUAAGCACCAGCCUAACUUCAUCAGCAGUAAGAUUCUGGAGAAGCUUCCUCUCAGGCUUCAAGACCACCUCAGAUGAUUCUUUGUCGUUACCGUAAACCUGCAAUCCGGAUAUCCUAAACCCGAGCAAGGGACUGCUUGAUUCCACAUCCUUCUUCAGGCAUUUCUCGAUGUAGGCUUGAGAAGCCUCGGGGUACCAUGUCCUGGAACCAAUCUUGAUGUCCAUGACACAUGGAUGCAACCGAGUCGACGUGAGAUCUUCUAAGAUGAGGUGCGGGUGGAGGCCAGAUCCAUCAGAAGCCUCUAUACUUUGAGUGCCAUGGAAGGCCGGGAAAAACCUCCGGACGUGUUGUGGAAUUGUUUUGUGAGCAGAAAACGAUGUGUAGAAUGCCAUCUCUGUUGCCCCACGCUCAUCGCCCU
rnacentral:lncRNA from 1 species